rnacentral:tRNA from 1 species
UUGAGAUCCCUUCAACUCCU